CCAAAAAAAAAAAAAAUCUGGUGUGACAAAGAUUCCUAUAUAAUUUGAUCUUGUAGGGUUUGGUGAGGUAGGGAAUCCGAAUUCCUGCAAUGAAGAAUUACUGAAUGAUGUCAAGAGAGUGGAGUACAUGAGGUCUUACUUACAUGCACUUGCAGAAGGAAUUAGGUUAUACACUGGACUGCCCUAGGGCUUGCAUUCAUUUAUUGGAUUUAAGUAAUGUUAAUGUCACCUGCAUUUAGAGAGAUUAUUGCAUGCAUAUUACGUAAUAGUGUAUACAAUAAUGUUCCUUUUUUAAUGGCCAAAAUGUCAUAGUGCGAGUGACUUUCAAUAUGUAUACACCAGUUAUAUGCAGUAAUUUUUUAUAUGGUAUUAGCAUUGUGAUGUUUUGGUGAAUCUCAAAUCUGAAACACAGUAUCAAAUCAUCAAAUGUCGAGAAAAAGUUAAUUGAUUUUUUAUUUUAUUUUAUAAAUAUGGUCAGAAAAGGAGCAGAUGUAAGAGGGUACUUGGUGUGGUCGUUGCUGGACAACUUCGAGUGGACGAGUGGCUAUACGGUUCGGUUUGGACUUCACCGUGUUGAUUACGCCACUCAAGAGGACUCAAAGACUAUCAGCAGCUUGGUACAAGCAAUUUGUAUCUAAUCAUACGGUGCAAACACACCUACCCACAAACUGAAUCUUGCACCAACAAAUCUAUGUCCACAAGGAUCCUUAUUCGCUAUUGUUGUUGACAUUCUUUCCCAAGAUCCGUCCAAUCUUCCACAACGAUAUAUAGUGGUUUUGCUUAGAGCGGUCUUCCACAAUGAUAUAUAGUGGUUUUGCUUAGAGCGGUGGCAGUAGUUUUCAUGAUUUAGGAUUGCACACUAUUUUAGGGUUUUGGUAAUUGUGGCUUGAGAUAAACAUUAACUACCACAUUUAAAUCACUUCUCUAAUAAAACUAAGAUAAACGUGCAAGUAGAUUUCAUCUCUAUUAGAGGAGAAAACUUGUGUGGGGCUUUGUUUGCCACUGGACUUUGCUGAAUGACACUACAACCCACUCAAAACUCGUCACAUGGCCAAUCUUAUAAUUUUUUUUUAUAUUUAGAACUCCCAUAAUUAUUUUUUUACUAAUUAUUAUACACUAUAAGAUUAAUCUAAUAGUUAAAUUUUUUUUUUCCUCUUAGAUAUGCAUUUGAGUGUUUAAAUUGGAAUGCCUUUUAACUCUCUGCUAAGUAAUUGAGUUUUUGUAAUCAUUCAAGUAUCUUUUGGAGCAAUCAAUUAUGAAGAAGCGCCAUAGUUAAGCAGUCUCCCACAACAUCAAGAAGAGGCAAAAUACUGUUUCCAUGAUUCUGGAGUUAGAUUAGAUGUCUGCUUUACAAUGAUAAAAAACAAAAUAGUUGUGAAACAGUAUUUUGUGUAAAAUAUGGAUAUGUAAUCGGUUUUUUUUAUAGCAGCAUCAGUCAUUUUGACCAAGGGGCAUUUCAACGUGACAUUUGGAAAUUGAUAGCUCGUCUUCGUUAUGUUCCUUAAAUUAGCUAGUGUCAUAAUACUUGAUUCAAAUAUUGUUAUUCAAGUAUAAAUGCUUUCGUAGUAAAUCGAAUUAUUACAUUUAUAGCAGGAAAUGAAAUCCCACAUCCGUUGUGCUAUGAUUCAAGCAUAAACAUCUGCCUCCAUUUUGUUGCCCUUGUGACAAUAUUUUUACAAAGAAAGAAAAAAACAAAGAGUAGGAAAGAAGACGAUAGAGAAAGUUUGGGAAGAAAUUAAAAGGAGAGAGAGAAGAGGAAAAAAAAAUGAACCACUAAUUAAACUAUAUGGUGGAUAUUAAUUAGUAGGAAAAAUGAUUAUAGGAGUUUUAAAUAUAAAAUAUUAUAUUUAAGAUUUGUCAUGUGGUGAGUUUUGAUUGGAUUGUAGUGCUACUCAGCAACGUCCAGUGGUAAGCGAAGCCCCACACAAGUUUUUCUUCUAUUAGAGAAGUAGUUUAUAUGUAGUCUACAAAAUGUGAUAUUUCUUACAUUUUCCAAUUUUAUAGUGUGAGGUUGUUUAUUCUAAUUUUUUUUUAGAAUAUAGUGCUCUUGGAGCUUUCUAUUUGAUUGCAUUGAAAGGAGUCUAAUAUUGCCUUGUUUGCAAUAUUUAGACGUUUAUCUUAUACCUAUUUUUUAGAGCGAAGUUAGAGACACUAUCUACUUGAACUAUAUUUUGUAUACCAUAUGAUGUAACAGUUGAUAGUUGGAUUCCUUGUUUAAAUCAUUGAAAAAGUUAUUCAACCAGCAAUCACCAUAUUAUAUGAUUUACAAAAUAUAAUAUAAAACAUAAUCUCUCUAGCAUUUUCCUUUGUUUUUUAAUACAACGAUAUAUUUACAAAUAUAUUUACACUUAAAGGUAGGGAAAUCAAGGUGGUGCUUUACCGGAAUGUCGGAAAUCAAUCAUGCAAUGUGGGUUUGAAUCUCAUAGACUCCCUUUCCAACUAACAAUGAACUGUAUAACCCACUAAGGCCUCGUUUGGCAGCUCGGACUGUACUGACUAUUUCAGUCGAAUAGGACAAUUUGUCAUCGGAUAGUAUUGACUAUUUAGUCGAGCGUACUAACUAUUUAAUCGGGCGUUUGGUGCAGUACCAGAUUAAAAACUCAAUUCAUCAAAGAUUAUCAUGUUCAUUUACUUCCUCAAAAGGAGAUUGAAGAACAUUUAUGGCACUUAGUUUCACAAUUUAAAACUAGCAAGAGAGAUGGAAAAAGAGCCAACUUGAUUUUGUUUUCAGCGACCCGACUAAUUAAUACCGACGAUUUGGAGUGUAUAAGUUAUCUGGCCUACGUCGUAUAAAAUAGACCGGACCUCAUAAAUAAUCCGGUGCUAAUUUAAUACGGAAUGGCACCAAACACCAGAUAGUAUUAAAUAGUACUAUCCGGUGUGUUAUCCAACAUGCCAAACACGCUCCUACCAAUUUACUCAAAAAAAAAAAUAGGAAAAUUAAUUAGUUUGAUGCAUUUCCGAUUCCCUUGCCCUCAGGGAAUUCAAAUACCUCACAAAACUAGGGAAUCCGGUUCCUCCAAUUUCAAGAAUUGGAUUCCUUUUUUCGUGUGGGCUCCACCACUUUUUUGAUUCCUUAAUAUUUAGUAAAUACCGGAAUACUCCGUAAUCGGAAUUCAAUUCCCUUUCUUUAUUCCGAUUACCCUUACGUAAACAUGCCAUUAGUGCGCCCGUUCCGAUUCCACCAUUAUCUGCCUCUCCUUAAAGUGGAUCUAGUUUAUUGAGUAUACAUAUAUUUUUACAUUAAAGAAAUGGAGAAUUCGGUUAAACCACACAAUGACAUCUUAAUUUGAUAUCGAAUUUGUCAUUCAAGAGAUUUGAAAAUAAGACCUCUCACAUCCAAAUAAAGAAAAAUACCACUAGACAAUAGUAUUGAGUGGCUACAGUAGAUCUGGUUUUACUAUUGGAUUUUUGUAUAAAAUUAUAUGAUGGAAGCCCCGCUUAUCGCAUUUUGAUUAAGUUGUUUCGUGGUUAAAAAAAGCCAUUCUAGAAUAUAUGAUCAUAGUAGACUUUCCUUUGGUUUUUGUUUUUGUUUUUGUUUUGUUUUGGUUUUUUUUUUUUAGUACAUCGAUAUGUUUACAUUAGGAGAAGGAGAAAUUGGUCACGCAAUGUGCAACCUAAUUUGGUAUCAAAUUCGCCAUCCACGAGAUUUGAACCUAAGAUCUCUCACUUCCAAAUGAAGAAGAAUACUACCAGACCAUAAUACUGAGUGACGACUUUCCUUUGUUAAGAGCUUAAAAGAGUUGAUUUGUUGGAAUGACAUUUUAAAACAAAAUGUGAAGAUUACUCUUUUAAAAGUGAGACUCCCAAUAAAUUGUUUGUCACUUUAUGUUUUUUAACAUAUUUUAUAAUAUUAGUACGAAAAUUGACAUUAAACUAUGAUGUGACUAAAAAUUCAUAAAAAUCUAAUUUUUUAAAGAGUCAUUUCUCUAAAAAAAAGUUGUCGGUUUCUGAUUAUUUAUAAGCAUACAUAAUAUGACUAUUAAAUUCAUUUUCCAAAUGCUGUGGGCGACGCAUUUCCAUGUAUUCAAAUAUAAGACUGUAGCAUUCAACCCCAUAUGCUUUAAAGUAGAUACACAUCUACCAUUAUUUUAUCAUUUGGUGAGCCCAACCAACGCUUGAUUAGAUUAGGGGAGGAAAAAUUGCUGAGAAUAAACAAAUAACUUAUGAAAUAAAAGCACGUUGAUUUUAAGAAUGCACUGCUAAUUAAGAAAAUUAUUUCUCUCCACUUGCAGCAAAACGCCUAACGUACACGUCUUUUCUGCGUACACUAGUGUCGAAAGAUUUUUCAAUGUGACCGGUUGUACAUCAUGUCAUUAUAUAAAUAGUAGGAUAUGUGUGCUAAAAAAUUAAUAACUUAAAAAAUAAAAUUUCUCAUCACUCCUAUAUUAAAACACAUGAUGUACCCCUUAUGUUCCCGUCACAACUAAAAAUUUCUCACUAGUGUCAAUAUAAAAUUACAUUGACAUUUGCAAUUUCACAUGUUAUAAUUUGGUGUUAUUAUUGUCGUUCUAAAAAAUUAUUGAGCAUUCCUUAUAAAUUUAAGUUUUAUUUAUAAGUAUAGGAAAUUUAAAGUGCGUAAUAAAUUCUUUUAGAAGGUGAAUUAUAACUUUUUAUAAAUAUGUAAUGGAAUAAGAUUUUCCUCUCAAUGUGUUUUUCAUGCGCAAUAAACCUUUUAGAAAGUUAAUAAUAACUUCUUAUAAAUAUACAACAGAAUAUAAUUAUCUUCUCACCAAAUACUUUCUUUUUUCCUCAUCUCCUCUCACAUUUUCUUUUUUAUCUCACACUUUCCUUUUUAUCUUUCUCUUUCUACAAAUAAGUCAAUACAAGAUAUUGAUGUGGUUUAAUCAUAACCGUUCAAAUAAAAAAAAUACUAGAAAACAAAAAAAAAGGAAGUUGAUGAAGGGAGAAUCCUACUCCUUUAGUCAACAAAUCAUGUGUGUGUGUGUAUGCUAAGUAUAUUUUCCAGGCAAAAUGGUUAUCUCACUUGGGGAAUAGCUGUUUGUUCAAUGCUUGAGAAAAGGACAUAAAUAUUCUAUGACAAGCUCAGAAUCUCCAUCCCAACUAAGUAUUCACAAUGGCCGUGAAGACACAGAGAAGAAUCUUAUCAGACAAGAGCAACCUUCCAGUUCAAGAGGCGGCUGGAGUGCUGCGAUUUUCAUCAUCCGUAAGUAAACCUUUUCAUUUUCUUACAAUUAUUCAAUUCAGGCUACUGUUUUUCUUUUUGGUAAUUUAUUUUCUUGUUGUAGUUGUUGAGGUGGCAGAGAGAUUUUCUUACUAUGGCACGGCUGGAAACCUCGUCACGUACCUCACAAAUGAACUCCAUGAGCCCAUCCCCAAGGCUGCAAAAAAUGUCAACACUUGGGUUGGAGUUUCAUCUCUCCUCCCAAUAAUUGGGGGCUUCGUCGCGGAUGCCUUUCUUGGUCGAUUCAACACCAUUCUCGUCUCAUCGAUCAUUUAUUGCUUUGUACGUAUUGUCAAAGCUUGACAACUUAUAAUAUUGACUGAUUAUACUACUAAUUGCAUCAAUAUCUUUUGUAUACAAAACUCCAGUUUAAUUCAGAAAUUUCAGAAAUUUCAUUAUUUACUACCAGUUUAAUUUCAGACCACGAUUGCUAACUUUUCAAGUUAAUUUCAGGCAAUGGUAAUGUUAACCGUAACAGUUUCCAUAAUUCCUCGGCGUUAUCAGAAAGCAAUGUUCUUUGUAUCACUUUACACAUUGGCAAUUGGUCAAGGUGGCCACAAACCAUGUGUACAAACCUUUGCUGCCGACCAGUUUGAUGAAGACUUGCCGGAGGAGAAGAAGGCGAAAAGCUCAUUCUUCAACUGGUGGUAUAUGGGGAUCGUUGUUGGUGCCUCCACUGCUAUUUUGGCAGUCAUAUAUGUGCAGGUCAGCAUAGAUCAUAUUUACAAGCACAGAUAGGGGUUUUCUGAAAUUUUAGGCGCAUAAACUCAAAUGUUGUUUUAGCAUCAUUAGUUUAGUGAACAAAUCCGAAAAAUUAUGAAUCUUAGCUGUAACAGUUUUUCAUUUUCUUAUAUGUGAGACGACUCUAAACCUCAUUUAUUUAUUAAAAGUAAGAUACGAGUAUGCAACUUGCUUAGUGAUUUUAGAAAAAGAAAUUGGUGAAUGGUUAUUGAAGUGCCGAAACCCAAAAUUUGUGACUAUGCUUUGGUGCAGGAUAAUGUUGGGUGGGCGGCGGGGUUUGGAAUAAUGACAGGGGCAAUGGUGGUGGCAUUGGUUCUGUUUCUGUUGGGUUACAAGAGAUACAGAAAGCAGGGACCCUUAGGCAGCCCCUUCACCAAGGUGGUUCAGGUGUUAGUGGCGGCAGCAAGGAAGUGGCGCGUGGAUGGAACACUCAUGACUGGUUUUGGUGUGUACAAAGAUGACGAGAGUCAGCAUGAUACUAGGAGGACUUUAGCACAUACCAGUCAAUUCAGGUAUGCUCACAGGCCACCAUAUUGAUAAGCUCUAUCUUAUUUUUUAGGUGCAAUUUUAUAAACACUAAACUUCACUGUGAUGACACCUCUUGAGAUCCAAAUAGAUAAAUUUAUAAAUUAUAUAAAUCAGCAUGGAACUUUAUGUCUACCACAUGACACCUUAUCCCUAACUUUAUACAAUAUCUAAUUUUUUUAGAUGCUUGGAUAAGGCAAUGAUCAUUGACCAACUUGAUGCUUCAAGCAAGACCAGAAAUCCAUGGAGAUUGUGCUCACAAAAUCAAGUCGAACAAGUAAAGCUCGUCCUACGCCUCAUUCCCGUAUGGAUGUGUUGCUUAAUGUUUGCUGUAGUCCAAUCCUUUAGUGUAACCUUCUUCACAAAGCAAGGAAGCACAAUGGUCCGCUCAAUUGGUUCGAACUUUAAGAUUCCCCAAGCAUCACUUCAAGUCUUCAAUGGCCUCACGAUUAUAGUUGUCAUUCCAAUCUACGACCGUGUUUUCGUCCCAGCAGCCCGAAAAAUCACAGGACACUCCUCUGGCAUCACCAUCCUACAAAGAAUUGGCAUUGGCCUAUUUGUAUCCAUAUUCACUAUGGUUGUGUCAGCUUUGGUAGAAGCCAAAAGGGUUAGCAUUGCAAGAGACCACAACCUCCUGGACAACCCCAAAACAAUAGUGCCAAUGAGAGUGUGGUGGUUAAUUCCACAGUACAUGAUAUGUGGUUUGUCUGAUGUAUUUACAUUUGUUGGACUUCAAGAAUUCUUCUACGAUCAAAUGCCAGAGGAAAUGAGAAGCAUGGGAGCAGCAGCAUACCUCAGUGUGGUAGGUGUAGGAAACUUCAUGAGCAAUGCUAUAAUAUCUGCGGUGCAAGAAAUUAGCUCAAGGCAUGGUGAAAAAUGGCUUGGUAACAAUAUCAAUCGUGCCCAUCUCAAUUACUUUUAUUGGGUAAUUGCAGCUUUGAGCACUUUUAAUUGGUGCAUAUAUGUGUUGAUUGCUAAACUUUUCGUAUACAAAAAGUUUGAAGCACAAGAAACCAAUAAGGAGAAAGAGCUCACUUGAAGCUUAUGAUCUAUCUUGCAGUUAACAUAGACAAAAGUUUGUACUACUAUUUUGUAAAAUACAGUGGAAGCCUCACUGCAUCAACAUUAUAUCUCUUUCCUCAUAAGUUCUAUAGCUAAAAAUCCAGAUAUUCGAAAUUAUACUACAGUGCUUGCAGACAUAAGCAUUUACAAAUUAUCUAACUGUUGACCCUAAAAACUAUGAAGCCUACGUGGCGCGCAGGCCGAGUAACUAAUGAGCUAACUAUGUCCUUCAGUUGUAUGCGUGCGUGCCAACUCGUCGGCUGAGCUCGGCCGAGGAGUAAAAUAUGUUGAUGUUGCGUCGGAUGCGCUGCUGACUUCUUGAUCUUGUGAUUGCAGCGGAGGAAGAAAUACGUCUCAGUCUUCGGGUUCUAGAGCCUGAAGACAAUGCUACUAGUUCUACGAAGUUCACAAAUCGUUGGUGUCGGAUUCAGUCACUGUGAUUAUAUUUGUAAGAGUAUAAGCACGAUGAAUCGACACCAGACUAUAUGGACACAAGUAUUCAAAGCAGAUGUACGUCUUAAUCGUAAAUGUGGUUGGGCCGUCGGAAUGCCGAACUCUAAAUCCAACUUGUGAGUAUCAAAUCAUAAAACAAUUCGGCGUUCAAUGCACUGAGUCUAGUGAUUCGUAACACCUUCCUUUGCCAAGAAGGCUCGUGAGAUGACCUCUGCCAAUAAGGAUUCGAAAACCCUUCUCGAUCGAGACUUGGAUAGAUAACCAAUCGGCCUUGACGCAGUGCUGUUUAUCUAAAUUGAAGGUGAUUCGCGGUCGGCUAAUUCUACGGCGGCAUUGCUGUUUAUCCAAACUAAAGAUGUUCACCAGUUGCCUUCACAAUGUUGUUUAUCCAAAUUGAAGAUGUGUCGGCGGAAAAGAAAAUGAAAAAUCUCAAGGUUGUUGAGAGAUUUCACGUAGAGCGAGAGUUUGCGUAGGGCAGUUUGUGUGUUGAGUUGGAGACCUUCUGUUACAACGCACCUUGUAUUUAUAGUAUUCAUAUUUUCUAGUUGGCAAGGUCUAAUAAUAUUGUAGAGUCCAACUGCAACUCAAACUCGCGGAGCAAAAAUUGAUCUGUGUCAGAUGCCUAUCCUUCAAAUUGCCAUUCGUGACUUUUCAAACAAAGCAAAAACCUAUCUCUUAUCACAUCAUAAUCAGAACUCCCAUUAAUGUCUUGCUUUAUCCCAUUAAGACUCCCAAUGCAACCAUAAAGCUUUCUUUUUCCAUGACAUCUAUCCAGGUGGAACCACGCAUGCAAUGUGCAAUGUGAAUUGCAAUAUGUCACUGUAAUCCAACUCUUGCACGGCAUUAGUCAAACACCUAGCCAAUCUCAUCCAUAUCCCCUUAUUUUCUUAUCUAACAAACAUUUAAUUUUGAUGAAAAUUAUUGUUUAACCAGAUAGAAAGGUUAACGAAUAUCCCUUUCGAAUGUCACUCUUCAUCAUCCUUACUACUUCAAAACCAUCUGAUUAAAUACCUUGCCGCAAGAGUCUCGAAGUUGGAGAUAUCGUUUGCAUCUCAUUUAUCUUGUUGUGUAAGAAAAUAUCAAGAUGAAUCCCAUUAAAAGAUAAUUAUUAUGAUAAAAACCAUAAUAUUAUCCUUUAAUAAUAACAAAAUUAUCUUCACUCUUCCAUCCAACGAUUAAGAGUUCUGCUCAAUUAACGGUCUUGAUUGCACGGACCGAUGGUGUAAAUUUGAGUCCAAACACUAACAUUGAUCCUAACGUACACAUGAGGAAAAUUUUCAGUGUGCCGGAAUCAUCAAUUGUAUUAUGACACUUGGUGUACCAGACCAUGUUUCCGGCACACUAAAAAUUUUCACAUAGACUCAUUAAUUAACCUUACAUGAUAUUUACAAAAUAAAUAACAUCAAUCCUAACGUAGGCGUGGACUAAUCAUGAUGACUAGUUAUGCAUGUGGAGAUCAUAAACAACCGAAAUUAAGCGUUUGAGCAACCGAUCUAACAGUGUUCUUCAUUGGAAUAUAAGAUUAAAUAUAAUUUAGAAUUUGUGCGUUGAUGAUAAUUUAUGGUGAUUAAUCCUUUGAAUGAUUCGAUAAAAAGGAAGUUGGUUAUUGUUACUGUUUCCUCGAAUCCUUGGUGAUUUUUUUUUUUCAAAAUUACAAAUGUACCAAAUUAUUAUAUUGUGAUUGGUUAACCUGUAGAUUUGGAUGAUCUUUUUCAAAAUACACGUGAUUUUAUAUACGUAGAGUAUACCUGUACAAUGCGUAUAGGGAAUCUAGAGAUGCAGCAAUCAACAAAACAUAAAAGAUAAAACAAACCUAAUUGUCCCCUAGGGGACAUGGAAUGGAUGAAUGUCGGAAAAGAAACAUAAAAAAGAUGAAAACAAUCGCAUCCCGUAAUAGAAGCUAAAGCAUUGAACAAAGCUAUUUAAUUUUGUUUUGUCCUCCAUUUCAUGGCAGAAGGGGAAACCCUCACAUGGGUAACGGUUGGCGUUUUAAUUUUUAUUCUUAUAUUUUUUUAUAUAAGUAAUGUUAUUCAUAUCAUGUUUUUGUACCACAUUUUUAUAUUAUCUUGGGUGGCAUUUGAUGUGGACAGUUACAUCAUUUGAAUUAAUCAGAUUUUUAAAUUUAAUUCAUUAUUUAAUAAACUAAUAAUUAAGAAAAAUUAGUUAAUUAGAUGAUGAUUGUGGUAUCAGUGGUGGAGCCAGAAAACCAAAUCAGGAGAGGCCUUUAAGCCAUAGAAAGAUUAGCCUUUGAAAUAUAAUUAAUGGGAGAAAAAUUAAAGGUUUUGUUUUUUGUAUUGGCAUGAAAAUUUUUAAUCAAACAAGAAUGGUGGAGCUUUAAAUUUUGUAUGAAAAACCUAGUCUUGAAAUGAAUAUAUCAUAAAAACAAAACUUGUUUACAAGCCUUGAUAACAAAAAUUAACACAUUGGAGUCGUACAAAAACUUAAAAUCACUGACUUAAAAUUAGAUUUUGCUCUAGACUGUAUUAACCUUUAUUUUAUAUCGACUAGCCAAAAAAGAGAGUAUGGUUUUUUUAUAUAUUACAAAAAUAAGACUUAGUUUUAAUAUGGUAAAAAAAAGGAGUUUUAACAUAAAGUUCGUGGUACUAUUCACUUUAACGAAAAACCACAUUUUUACACUAAAAAGUCAAAUUUGGUACUAUUCAUUUUACCCUUUAUUUUGUCCUUAUCGUUAAAACUCAAAGUUUUCAAGCCAUUUUCAUUAGUUUUCCUAAAAAAUAAGGCAAAUUAUAAGAAUCCUUUUCUUCUUUCAGUUAAAAAACAAAUCUAAAAAAAUUGCUGGACCGCUAGGAAGGCUCAAACCCAGGCUAUUUGGAAUUGUAAAAUCCCAGUAGCCAAUGAACCACAUGCUCAUUUUUGUAAAAUCUUGCAGAGAAUACAUACAUAAAUAAAUUUUCAGGGUAGGCCUGGGCCAUCACUGGCCUCUAUGUGGCUCCGCCACUGUGGUAUACGAGAAGUUUUUCUCUUUCUUUUUUUUGGGGUUUGCAAAUUUUUCAAAUGAUGUAGCUGUUUAAAACAGAUAUCACCUAAAAUGGUAUAGAAAUGUGAUACGAAUAACAUUACUCAUUACUCUUUUGAUAUAGUAUGCAUGAGAUGCUAGCACCCUUUUAACUCUAAGUCAAACGAUACACAACAACAGAGUCGAUUGCCUCAAAAAAAUAAAUAUUGGUAAGAGUUCGAACUUCGGUUGCCGACCCGUUAAUUAAUCCUAAUCCUUAGUUAUAAAGAAAUGCGUAUUAUACAAUCUGCAAUUCCCAUUGAAUAGUCCAAUCGCAGCCAACAGUGGAACCUAUUUCCAGAAAGAAAGAAAAAAAAUGGAAAAAGGGUGGAGAUAGAGAAAGAAACAAAACAAACCCAAAAAAAAAAACCGAAAUUGGAGAUGGUGGGAACUCUGCGACUACGACCGUCGCACUCAUUGAUCUGAACCAGUUUCCAGAUGCACAUGAGCACAAGAAACUGAGGGAAGCGUCUGAUGUUAAAUUAUUAUAGCCAAGAACUGGAUUCAGUUGCAGUAAUCACAACCAAGUAAAGCACAGAAACCUUUCCCAUAUAAAAGCGUUGCAAUUCACUAAUAUGAUGAACCUCCACCUGAAGAUGCCAUGAAUGCUGCAAACCGAUCUCAAUGCACUGUAACUCUUCUCCUCUCUGUCAGAUUAUUUCAAGCUCUAACAAAGUAUAGGGCUUAGUUCCGAAGAGAGCACACAUCUGUGAGAGCAGAGGUCACAAUAUAUAUAGACACACAUAUCUCAUUCUCAUAACUCAAUAAGGAUUCCCUAUUAAAAUCCUUAUAGAAAACAACUUAUGACUUCUAAAUCAUAUCAGUUUAAUGUCAAAACAGAAUCCUUCAUUAACAAGAAUUAGUAUACAACUUCUCAUAAGGCUUUCUUAUACCAAUUGGACUUAAUCACCCGCUGUCAAAACAUCCAAUCUCAAGUUCAUACUCUUACAUUGAGACAUGGGGUUGCUUCAGGCUUGCCAACCAUAGGAUCGAACCGAGCCUGAUGGCAGAGAUGAAGACUGUGGUCAGAUGUUUGCUUGAUCUACCCAUGGAGAUGAAGAUACAGAACAAAGAUGUCAUUGCUGGUAGUGGCUACGUGGCAGCCUCUAUGAGGCUUUGGGUCUUCAUGACUUGGGAGUUGGGAUCAUCUCAGGCUGUGCAUAGCUUUUGCUCUCGGCUGGAUGCCUCUUCCCACCAGAGGUUGGUUUUUUUUGCUCCAUUAUACUUACUUAUCCUCCAUGAUAUUCUAAUUAAUUUAAUCUACAAUAUGAGGAGGAGGGUUUGAACUUUAGUGCAGAGGGGAAGCAAUCUGUUGUAGCCAAUUUAGGUGUAUGUGCAUCACGUUCAUUAUAUUUUAAUUAAAAACAGAUGUGCACUGGUAAUCUAUUGGCACCAUUGAUAUCGACACAUUAUCAAUUGCAUCUCUUUAACUCUCCUUAUCAAGAUGAUGUCGAUGGGUAUCUCUUAUUAAAACAACAGGACUUUUAGAGAGCUGAGCUAAUCGAACGAAAUCGGAACUCACAGCCUCGGAGAAAUUAGACCUCGUUCUCAAGAAAUCAUAUGCCAGGCGGAAUCCCAUUUACACUAUCAAGUCUUUAUUUCUUGUCUUCAUUUACUCCAGCAUACAAUGAUCUGCACAACAUGAUGGACUCCUCUGUAUAUUAAAAUACUGCUUUUUGAAAUUAACCUUAAACUUCCCUGCCUAGUGCCUACUUAGUCUUCCCAUCAUGUUUUCUUUUGAAAUUAAUUGAAAGUUUGCUUUGUAAUGAAAGCUUUUAGUCGACACCACCGGCCAAGACCGAAAUCCAUUUUUUUCCACCUGCUUCUAGAUUAGCAACAGUAGU
rnacentral:lncRNA from 1 species